GGCCAACAGAUGAGGGAAGCCAUUUUUCUGCAAUGGAAUUAAAUGGCCAAGCCCAAGGACUCACAGUUGGAAGACUGGAGAAGACUUUUUAAAAAGAUCUGGAUUUUUCCUUAUGACUUGGAAUCCAUCUUUGUCUUGUAUAACUAGGUCAUAGCACACCAUUCAUGUCAGCAGUUAACAGUUUUGAAUUCCAAAAAAACCUAAGUAAAUGACAUAUUUUUUUUCCUCUUUUUGUUCUAUGGGUGGGUGGGGGGAGCUUGGAGCUGUCUUAAUCUGUAUUCUCUUGACUGAACAAUAAAUUUUUAAAUAUAUCUAGUUUCCUCUAUUAAACACUUAAACCUGGCCAUCUUAUUAACUCCUUCUCUCUUUUUAACAAGGUAAUGUUUUAAAUGUAUAUAGCUUUAGGACUAGCGAAAUGGCAGCAACAAAAAAUUGUGAGCAGUUGUUACUCUUUUAGUUUUUAAAAAACCUUUUACAUUGUAAGUACCCAAUCCAUUCUGUCCUGACGCAGUACAGUUUUGAUGUUAAUGUUGCUGAGAUGUCCUUAAUUUUCCGAACCUUCAUCUGCAUGUAUGUCUUUGUCUCUCUUGUCUAAUAUAAGCCAGUUAAGAUGCUUGAGACGAUCUUGCUUUAUAAAGCUAAGGUUCUAGCUUUAUGCUUUUGAAAAUGUUUACAGCACUAAAUGCUAGUCAGCUUUCUUCCCCGUAGCUUGUACACUUUCUUUGAAAAUCGAUCUAUUUGAAGAAAAACAGCCCUGUUUUUCUCGUCUUUGGUGUUGGGGGUUGGGGGGAGCUGGUGGGUGAGGGAAAGGAAGACCUUUUCUUUGUGUAGAGAGACUAAAGCCGUCACAGGAAACUAGAUUAAAACUGGAAAACAAGUCCUAGCUGGUUCCAGCAAACACCAACGUUAAGUGGGGGGUAUUUUCUAUGGUGGUUGGGCGGCUGGUGCGUCUUGUGCCUUUUGUUUGAUUUGACUGUAUUUUCGCCUUUUGUCUCUUAAUGACGAUCACACCAUUGCUAUAUCCAGAGCAGUAAACAGUCCUCAGCGAAGCCGCCUUUUUGCCUACCCAACCCUGGAAAGUUUGCAGAAGUGGAAGGAGCAGAACGUGAGGGUGUAACUUACAAAAAGGUAAUAAGAACAAAGACACCACCAUAACCCCCAAAUUUCCCAACUAAAUCAAAAAAUAUAUAUGUUUUUACAAUAACGUCUCCAAAACCACCGCCCAGCUUGAUCUUCUAGACUCCAUGGCACCGGGCUGAGCGGGUUCUGGGCCGGAGAAGGGGCGACGUUCGGGCACCCCCCGAAUGGACAAUCUUUCCUUCUGUCAACGGCAGGGGCAGGCCUAGUUUGACUCUGACAGUCCUCCCACUAAGCACUACGCCCCAUCGGUGUUCGAGAAGUACACGGCCAGCGUGACCGUUGGCAGCAAGGAGGUGACCCUGAACCUCUACGACACGGCCGGGCAAGAAGACUAUGACCGGCUGCGGCCCCUGUCCUACCAGAACACCCACCUCGUGCUCAUCUGCUAUGACGUCAUGAAUCCCACCAGCUACGACAACGUCCUCAUCAAGUGGUUCCCUGAGGUCACGCAUUUCUGCCGCGGGAUCCCCAUGGUGCUCAUCGGCU
rnacentral:lncRNA from 1 species